rnacentral:tRNA from 1 species
ACCUGGCUGGCUCAGUUGGUGGAGCGUGUGGCUCUUGAUCUCCAGGUUGUGGGUUCAAGCCCCAUGUUGGGUG